AGGCUAAGAAGGUACAUUCUAGAAAAAAUAUUUCUCCUAUUAAACUGAGAGAGGGCCACAAAGCCACGGUGAGACAUCCUGUCAAACUUGUGUAGCAUUUCUGUGAGCCCCUGGGAUCCUGUUUCAGAAGGUAGAAAUUGUGCAAGUACAAUUAACACUGAUGGAGAAAAAAUUAUUCAACACGUGGGGGGAAAAUAAAAUGUGAAUAGCUGAGGUAAGGCUUGAUUUAAAUUAAUAGUUUUGUAAACGCAUCUAAUCUCUGCCCAGAUUAAUUUUCAGUAUUACUUUAUUAACACAUAUUUAGGGUUUAAGUCAGAAUAAAGGUAUAUAUUUCAUAUAUGUAAACUAGAUCCAACUUCAUCUGUAUUACUCUGUGUGUUUUCAUGUUGGAAAAUCAGACAAAUAAUUCCAUGGAUCCAUUUUAUGAAUAGAAAUAUUUUCUUCACUUCCUACUAAAAACUUAUUUAUUGUUAAUAAACUUUUU